AGCGAACGCUGGCGGCAGGCUUAACACAUGCAAGUCGAACGGGCGCUUCGGUGCUAGUGGCAGACGGGUGAGUAACGCGUGGGAACGUGCCUUUCGGUUCGGAAUAAUCCAGGGAAACUUGGACUAAUACCGGAUACGCCCUUCGGGGGAAAGAUUUAUCGCCGAAAGAUCGGCCCGCGUCUGAUUAGCUAGUUGGUGAGGUAAAGGCUCACCAAGGCGACGAUCAGUAGCUGGUCUGAGAGGAUGAUCAGCCACAUUGGGACUGAGACACGGCCCAAACUCCUACGGGAGGCAGCAGUGGGGAAUAUUGGACAAUGGGCGCAAGCCUGAUCCAGCCAUGCCGCGUGAGUGAUGAAGGCCUUAGGGUUGUAAAGCUCUUUUGUCCGGGAAGAUAAUGACUGUACCGGAGGAAUAAGCCCCGGCUAACUUCGUGCCAGCCGCCGCCGUAAAAC
rnacentral:rRNA from 1 species